rnacentral:rRNA from 1 species
UACGUAGGGCGCAAGCGUUAUCCGGAAUUAUUGGGCGUAAAGAGCUCGUAGGCGGUUUGUCGCGUCUGCCGUGAAAAGUCCGGGGGCUCAACUCCGGAUCUGCGGUGGGGUACGGGCAGACUAGAGUGAUGUAGGGGGAGACUGGAAUUCCUGGGUGUAGCGGUGAAAAUGCGCAGAUAUCAGGAGGAACACCGAUGCGAAGGCAGGUCUCUGGGCA